rnacentral:rRNA from 1 species
GAUGAACGCUGGCGGCGUGCUUAACACAUGCAAGUCGAACGAAGCACUUUAUUUGAUUUCCUUCGGGACUGAUUAUUUUGUGACUGAGUGGCGGACGGGUGAGUAACGCGUGGGUAACCUGCCUUGUACAGGGGGAUAACAGUUGGAAACGGCUGCUAAUACCGCAUAAGCGCACAGCAUCGCAUGAUGCAGUGUGAAAAACUCCGGUGGUAUAAGGUGGACCCGCGUUGGAUUAGCUAGUUGGUGAGGUAACGGCCCACCAAGGCGACGAUCCAUAGCCGACCUGAGAGGGUGACCGGCCACAUUGGGACUGAGACACGGCCCAAACUCCUACGGGAGGCAGCAGUGGGGAAUAUUGCACAAUGGGCGAAAGCCUGAUGCAGCGACGCCGCGUGAGCGAAGAAGUAUUUCGGUAUGUAAAGCUCUAUCAGCAGGGAAGAUAAUGACGGUACCUGACUAAGAAGCACCGGCUAAAUACGUG